GGAUGAACGCUAGCUACAGGCUUAACACAUGCAAGUCGAGGUGCAGCAUUUUAGUUUGCUUGCAAACUGAAGAUGGCGACCGGCGCACGGGUGAGUAACACGUAUCCAACCUGCCGAUAACUCCGGAAUAGCCUUUCGAAAGAAAGAUUAAUACCGGAUAGCAUACGAAUAUCGCAUGAUAUUUUUAUUAAAGAAUUUCGGUUAUCGAUGGGGAUGCGUUCCAUUAGUUUGUUGGCGGGGUAACGGCCCACCAAGACUACGAUGGAUAGGGGUUCUGAGAGGAAGGUCCCCCACAUUGGAACUGAGACACGGUCCAAACUCCUACGGGAGGCAGCAGUGAAGAAUAUUGGUCAAUGGGCGAGAGCCUGAACCAGCCAAGUAGCGUGAAGGAUGAAGGCUCUAUGGGUCGUAAACUUCUUUUAUAUGGGAAUAAAGUUUUCCACGUGUGGAAUUUUGUAUGUACCAUAUGAAUAAGGAUCGGCUAACUCCGUGCCAGCAGCCGCGGUAAUACGGAGGAUCCGAGCGUUAUCCGGAUUUAUUGGGUUUAAAGGGAGCGUAGGUGGAUUGUUAAGUCAGUUGUGAAAGUUUGCGGCUCAACCGUAAAAUUGCAGUUGAAACUGGCAGUCUUGAGUACAGUAGAGGUGGGCGGAAUUCGUGGUGUAGCGGUGAAAUGCUUAGAUAUCACGAAGAACUCCGAUUGCGAAGGCAGCUCACUAGACUGUCACUGACACUGAUGCUCGAAAGUGUGGGUAUCAAACAGGAUUAGAUACCCUGGUAGUCCACACAGUAAACGAUGAAUACUCGCUGUUUGCGAUAUACAGUAAGCGGCCAAGCGAAAGCAUUAAGUAUUCCACCUGGGGAGUACGCCGGCAACGGUGAAACUCAAAGGAAUUGACGGGGGCCCGCACAAGCGGAGGAACAUGUGGUUUAAUUCGAUGAUACGCGAGGAACCUUACCCGGGCUUAAAUUGCAACAGAAUAUAUUGGAAACAGUAUAGCCGUAAGGCUGUUGUGAAGGUGCUGCAUGGUUGUCGUCAGCUCGUGCCGUGAGGUGUCGGCUUAAGUGCCAUAACGAGCGCAACCCUUAUCUUUAGUUACUAACAGGUCAUGCUGAGGACUCUAGAGAGACUGCCGUCGUAAGAUGUGAGGAAGGUGGGGAUGACGUCAAAUCAGCACGGCCCUUACGUCCGGGGCUACACACGUGUUACAAUGGGGGGUACAGAAGGCGGCUACCUGGUGACAGGAUGCUAAUCCCAAAAACCUCUCUCAGUUCGGAUCGAAGUCUGCAACCCGACUUCGUGAAGCUGGAUUCGCUAGUAAUCGCGCAUCAGCCAUGGCGCGGUGAAUACGUUCCCGGGCCUUGUACACACCGCCCGUCAAGCCAUGAAAGCCGGGGGUACCAGAAGUACGUAACCGCGAGGAGCGUCCUAGGGUA
rnacentral:rRNA from 1 species